GACGAACGCUGGCGGCGUGCUUAACACAUGCAAGUCGAACGGAAAGGCCCCCUUGUGGGGUACUCGAGUGGCGAACGGGUGAGUAACACGUGAGUAACCUACCCUUGACUUUGGGAUAACUUCAGGAAACUGGGGCUAAUACCGGAUAGGAGCUCCUGCUGCAUGGUGGGGGUUGGAAAGUUUCGGCGGUUGGGGAUGGACUCGCGGCUUAUCAGCUUGUUGGUGGGGUAGUGGCUCACCAAGGCUUUGACGGGUAGCCGGCCUGAGAGGGUGACCGGCCACAUUGGGACUGAGAUACGGCCCAGACUCCUACGGGAGGCAGCAGUGGGGAAUAUUGCACAAUGGGCGGAAGCCUGAUGCAGCAACGCCGCGUGCAGGAUGACGGCCUUCGGGUUGUAAACCGCUUUCGCCUGUGACGAAGCGUGAGUGACGGUAAUGGGUAAAGAAGCACCGGCUAACUACGUG
rnacentral:rRNA from 1 species